ACUCCUACGGGAGGCAGCAGUAGGGAAUCUUCCACAAUGGACGAAAGUCUGAUGGAGCAACGCCGCGUGAGUGAAGAAGGGUUUCGGCUCGUAAAACUCUGUUGUUAAAAGAAAGAACAUAUCUGAGAGUAACUGUUCAGGUAUUGACGGUAUUUAACCAGAAAGCCACGGCUAACUACGUGCCAGCAGCCGCGGUAAUACGUAGGUGGCAAGCGUUGUCCGGAUUUAUUGGGGCGUAAAGCGAGCGCAGGCGGUUUUUUAAGUCUGAUGUGAAAGCCUUCGGCUCAACCGAAGAAGUGCAUCGGAAACUGGGAAACUUGAGUGCAGAAGAGGACAGUGGAACUCCAUGUGUAGCGGUGAAAUGCGUAGAUAUAUGGAAGAACACCAGUGGCGAAGGCGGCUGUCUGGUCUGUAACUGACGCUGAGGCUCGAAAGUAUGGUAGCAAACAGGAUUAGAUACCCUGGUAGGAUAGCG
rnacentral:rRNA from 1 species